rnacentral:rRNA from 1 species
GAUGAACGCUGGCGGCGUGCCUAACACAUGCAAGUCGAGCGUGAACCGUCUGAAUGAAACUUCGGUCGAGUGAGGAUGGGGAAAGCGGCGGACGGGUGAGUAACGCGUAGGCAACCUGCCCCGUACAGAGGGAUAGCCUCGGGAAACCGGGAUUAAGACCUCAUAAUACCAUUAUCUCACAUGUGAUAAUGGUCAAAGAUUUUAUCGGUAUGGGAUGGGCCUGCGUCUGAUUAGCUGGUUGGUGGGGUAACGGCUCACCAAGGCGACGAUCAGUAGCCGACCUGAGAGGGUAAUCGGCCACAUUGGAACUGAGACACGGUCCAAACUCCUACGGGAGGCAGCAGUGGGGAAUAUUGCACAAUGGGCGAAAGCCUGAUGCAGCAACGCCGCGUGAGCGAGGAAGGCCUUUGGGUCGUAAAGCUCUGUCGAGGAGGAAGAUAAUGACGGUACUCCUCGAGGAAGCCCCGGCUAACUACGUGCCAGCAGCCGCGGUAAA